CACUGUGAGACCUACAGUGAUAGUCACGUAAUACUCUUUUCCUCUGGGCCAUUGUUUUCUUGGAUUAUAUUGACAACUUAUAUUGUAAGGAAAUCUCCCAGAGUGACCCUGUUAAGAUGUCAGAAAUAUCAUAGCACAUGUCAGCUUGAAGCCAGUACAUUACUUCUGAUAAUACAACAAUCCCAUGAGUAAGCGCACCCCUUGCGUCCAAAGGUGGUAAAAAGACUUCCAAAGGAUUCUCCUCAUG
rnacentral:lncRNA from 1 species